rnacentral:rRNA from 1 species
CCUACGGGUGGCUGCAGUGAGGAAUAUUGGUCAAUGGCCGGAAGGCUGAACCAGCCAAGUCGCGUGAGGGACGACUGCCCUAUGGGUUGUAAACCUCUUUUAUAAGGGAAGAAUAAAUGCUACGUGUAGCAUGAUGCCUGUACCUUAUGAAUAAGCAUCGGCUAACUCCGUGCCAGCAGCCGCGGUAAUACGGAGGAUGCGAGCGUUAUCCGGAUUUAUUGGGUUUAAAGGGUGCGUAGGCGGGCUGUUAAGUCAGCGGUAAAAGCCCGGGGCUCAACCCCGGCGAGCCGUUGAAACUGGCUGUCUUGAGAUGUCGAGAGGUAUGCGGAAUGCGCAGUGUAGCGGUGAAAUGCUUAGAUAUUGCGCAGAACUCCGAUUGCGAAGGCAGCAUACCGGCGGCGAUCUGACGCUGAGGCACGAAAGCGUGGGUAUCGAACAGGAUUAGAUACCCCAGUAGUC